rnacentral:rRNA from 1 species
CCUACGGGAGGCAGCAGUGGGGAAUAUUGCGCAAUGGGCGGAAGCCUGACGCAGCGACGCCGCGUGGGGGAUGACGGCCUUCGGGUUGUAAACCUCUUUCGACCGGGACGCGGUACCGGUAUAAGAAGCACCGGCCAACUACGUGCCAGCAGCCGCGGUAAUACGUAGGGUGCGAGCGUUGUCCGGAAUUAUUGGGCGUAAAGAGCUCGUAGGCGGUCUGUCGCGUCGGUCGUGAAAACUUGGGGCUUAACCCUGAGCUUGCGGUCGAUACGGGCAGACUGGAGUUCGGCAGGGGAGACUGGAAUUCCUGGUGUAGCGGUGAAAUGCGCAGAUAUCAGGAGGAACACCGGUGGCGAAGGCGGGUCUCUGGGCCGAACUGACGCUGAGGAGCGAAAGCGUGGGGAGCGAACAGGAUUAGAUACCCUUGUAGUC